GACGAACGCUGGCGGCGUGCUUAACACAUGCAAGUCGAACGGAAAGGCCCUGCUUUUGACUCGUGCUCGAAUGGCGAACGUGUGAGUAACACGUUCGUAACCUCCCCUUGACUUAAGGAUAACUACCUGAAACUAGUGCUAAUUCCGGCUACGCGCUCCUGCUGCAUGGUGGGGGUUGUAUGGCUGUUGGGGAUGGGCCCGCGGCUUAUCAGCUUGUUGGUGGGGUGGUGGCUUAGCAAUGCGACGGCGGGUAGGCGGCCCGGGAGGGGGACCGGGCACAAUUGGACCUGGGUACGGCCCAGAACCCUACGGGGGGCAGCAGGGGGGAAUAUUGCACAAUGGGCGGAAGGCUGAAGCAGGAGCGCCGGGGGCGGGAAGACGGCCUUCGGGGUGUAAACCGCCUUUGCCUGUGACGAAGCGGGAGGGACCGGAACGGGUAAAGAAGCACCGGCUAACCACGGGC
rnacentral:rRNA from 1 species